rnacentral:lncRNA from 1 species
UUUUUGAAUAUUAUUAAUAUUAAUUACCAUUCACACUUUGUUUGUGUUGUGACUCGACACAAAUUGAUAAAUUUCUUAAUUAAUCAUCAUUAGUGAUGAAUACUAAUUGUAGCAUCAAAUGAAUGUUAAGGAAAUAUAGGCCAACACUCAUGUUGUUGAUUGAGAACCACCAAAUCAGCCACUCAAUGAAUGGUAACGGUAGGUAAAUAUAAAUCUUAAGCACAAUAUGUAUUAUCACUUUUGAUCCUCCGAUUGAAAAAUGAUGAAUAUGAAUUUUGUAACUUCAAAUGAAUGUGGUAGGUUAAUAGAAAUCUUAACGACGAGAUUUAUUAUCAUUUUUCGCAAAUCCUCCGAAGUUUAGAGUAGGUGAUUAUAUAUAUAUAUAUAUAUAUAUAUUUAUUAAUCUAUAUCUUUAUAUAUCUUUUUUCUUUUUCUGCUGCAGAAUAAAGCAAUUAAAAAAAUAGAAUAACAUGCCCAUCUCCACAAAAUAUAAUUCGAUCUUUCAAUCUUUGAAUAUUAUUAAUAUUAAUUACCAUUCACGCUUUGUUUGUGUUGUGACUCGACACAAAUUGAUAAAUUUCUUAAUUAAUCAUUAUUAGUGAUGAAUACUAAUUGUAGCGUCAAAUAAAUAUUAAGGAAAUAUAGGUCAACACUCAUGUUGUUGAUUGAGAACCACCAAAUCAACGACUCAAUGAAUGGUAACGGUAGGUAAAUAUAAAUCUUAAGCACAAUAUAUUUAUUUUGUAUCCUCCGAUUGAUUUUUUUUGAAUAUUAAUUUUGUAACUUCAAAUGAAUGUGAUAGGUUAAUAGAAAUCUUAACGACGAUAUUUAUUAUCAUUUUUCGCAAAUCCUCCGAAGUUUAGAGUAGGUGAAAAUUCUCCCAAUUU